rnacentral:tRNA from 1 species
GAGCCUGUAGUUCAAUGGAUAGAACACUUGGUUUCGGCCCAGGUGAUCGGGGUUCAAUUCCUCGCAGGCUCG